UACGUAGGGUGCAAGCGUUGUCCGGAAUUAUUGGGCGUAAAGAGCUCGUAGGCGGUCUGUUGCGUCGGCUGUGAAAACCCGGGGCUCAACUCCGGGCCUGCAGCCGAUACGGGCAGACUAGAGUUCGGCAGGGGAGACUGGAAUUCCUGGUGUAGCGGUGAAAUGCGCAGAUAUCGGGAAGAACACCAAUGGCGAAGGCAGCUCUCUGGGACGGUACUGACGCUGAGACGCGAAAGCGUGGGGAGCGAACAGG
rnacentral:rRNA from 1 species